rnacentral:rRNA from 1 species
UAUGUGAUCGUCUCUCGCAUAUCAAUAAGCGGAGGAAAAGAAACUAACAAGGAUUCCCCUAGUAACGGCGAGUGGAGCGGGAAGAGCUCAAAUUUGAAAUCUUAAAGGGUUUCCCUUUACGAAUUGUAGUUUAAAGAAGUGUUUUCUGUUGAGGUUUUGGUAAAAGUUCUUUGGAAUAGGACAUCAUAGAGGGUGAGAAUCCCGUAUUUGACCUUUACUUUCAACUUUGUGAUACACUUUCAAAGAGUCGGAUUGUUUGGGAAUGCAGGUCCAAAAUGGGUGGUAAAUUUCAUCUAAAGCUAAAUAUUGGCGAGAGACCGAUAGCGAACAAGUACCGUGAGGGAAAGAUGAAAAGAACUUUGAAAAGAGAGUUAAACAGUACGUGAAAUUGUCAAAAGGGAAGCGUAUGACACCAGUGUUGUUUUUCUGAAAAUCAAUUAAAGAACUGUUUAUGCUAAGCUGUUUAGACUUUAUCAGCUAUACUGUUUAGUUUUGAGCUUUUCUUUAAUGCACUUUUCAGUUAACAAGUCAACAUCAAUUUCUUUUGCUGUAAAAAAGCUUGAGGAAGGUGGCUUGAGAUUCGUCUUAAGUGUUUAUAGCCUCUUGCCUAUGCAGUCGGAGAGAUUGAGGUCUGCAGCGUAGAUCCUUCGGGGCUAAAUGCAUUUGUGCUAAGUUAUAGCAUUUUAUAGACAACUUGUUAACUAUGAUUUGUCUUGUAGCUUACUCGCUUAUGUUAUUUUACCUACGCUUAGGAUGUUGAUCUACAGAGCGAGAGU